rnacentral:rRNA from 1 species
UACAGAGGGUGCGAGCGUUGUUCGGAAUUAUUGGGCGUAAAGGGCUCGUAGGCGGUCUGUCGCGUCGGGAGUGAAAACUCAGGGCUUAACCCUGAGCCUGCUUCCGAUACGGGCAGACUAGAGGUAUGCAGGGGAGAACGGAAUUCCUGGUGUAGCGGUGGAAUGCGCAGAUAUCAGGAGGAACACCGGUGGCGAAGGCGGUUCUCUGGGCAUUACCUGACGCUGAGGAGCGAAAGUGUGGGGAGCGAACAGG